AUGCGUGUGGGUUUUGCAGCGAAGGUCCUGAUCAAGAACUCGCAAGUGCAAGCCAUCAUUUGGGGCCCUCACACAAUGACCAAAGCAGAUCACGUCGGCCACCUUGGCCGCCCAAAUCACAUUCCGGUUCUUUCAUUCUCCGGCAUUUCCCCAACAUCGUGUGCCUUCUGGUUGGAUGACCUUGUGUCAGCCUCCAGAGGCAAUGCCAAGUACGGAUUUACACUUGGAAGUGAAACUGUGACCUUCCGUAAUCCAAAAACUGAUAGAAGACAAAGCAGAAAACUAUAUACAAGAAAUUCAAAGAAGAACUGCAGAAGUAAGACGGUGUUGAAGAUUGCCGUGCCGCGGAAAGAAGGUUUUCAGUUUUUCGUGAAUGUUAUUGACCAAAUUUCGAAGGAGCAAAACAUCACCGGAUACAGCAUUGAUAUCUUCAAGGCUGCUAUGAGGAAUUUACAUCCUAUGCCGUGCUAUAGAUUUAUUGUCUUCAACGGUUCGUAUGAUGAGCUAGUAGGCAACGUGUCUUUAGGGGUGUAUGAUGGUGCAGUUGGUGAUGUGACCAUAACCGCAGAACGAGUUACUAACACAGACUUCACAAUGCCAUACACACAGUCCGGUGUGUCCAUGCUUGUGCUUGCCGAGGAUGCACCAGAUAUCCGUUGGACAUUUGUAGAGCCACUAGAUGGGAUGCUUUGGCUUGUAACCAUGGUUUUUUUAUUAUAUACUGGCAUUGUCGUGUGGAUGACUGAACUACCCACACAUCAGGAGUAUCAAGAAUUAAGUUGGAGACAGUGUGGCACCGCCAUCUACUUCAUUUUCUGCACCUUGACGCUUUCUCAUGUUCAAAGUAUUAGAAGCCCCUUGACAAGAAUUGUUGUGGUGAUAUGGUGCUUCGUAGUGCUGAUUCUAGUACAGAGUUACACGGCAAGCUUAUCAUCCAUUCUGACUGCAAAGAGGCUACGUCCUAAGGUGACAGAUCUGGACCAGCUCCGGCACAAUGGUCAUUUUGUAGGAUACCAAGAUGAUUCCUUCGUGCGGUCCUUCUUGAUAAAUCGUAAUAUCAGUGAAAGUAAGUUAAGGAACUACACGAGGAAAGAAGAAUAUGCUGAUGCUUUGAGGAAGGGGUCCAAGAAUGGAGGGGUGUCAGCUAUCGUCGAUGAGAUUCCCUAUUUAACUUCUUUCCUCUCUGACAAUCGGUACAAAAAUGACUUUAAGAUGCUCGGGUGCAGAUACAAGACUCCGGGAUUUGGUCUUGCAUUUCGUCUAGGUUCUCCGAUAGUGCACAACCUCUCAACUGCCAUCUUGAACCUAGCAGGAGGGGCUGAGGGUGAAAAAAUUGAGGAAAAAUGGUUCGGCAAAACUUUACCAUCGGUGGGUGCUGACGCGGUCUCCAACACAGAUUCGGCACCUCUCACAGUACAACACUUUUCUGGUCUAUUUAUCAUCACGGGAUCCAUUUCAACUCUCAUGCUGCUAAUAAGUAUUGUGAGGUUGGUUUAUGCCAAAUGCACCAGAUCGAGAAAGGUCGGCGUAGAAAGCGUCAGCUGCAAUAGUGCCCACGAGGAUACCAGUUUACAUAAUCGCGUGGACGACAAUCCCAGCCCCAAACAACCUCUCCGUGAAGAUAGCGAUGAUGUUUCCCAAGGUGUCCAUGAGACUGGCCAAAAUGUUGGGGGUGCAGAUCCCGAGUCAUUGCAGCAGAUCAAUGGCUUGAAAGGUGGCUCUGUGCCUGCAGGACACAUUCAGAUUGAGAUGAGCAAUGUUUGA
rnacentral:rRNA from 1 species